GGAAACCCUGACGCAGCGACGCCGUGUGAGGGAAGAAGGCCUUCGGGUCGUAAACCUCUGUCGGGAGGGAAGAACCGCCGGUUUCCGAACAGGGAGCCGGUCUGACGGUACCUCCGAAGGAAGCGCCGGCUAACUCCGUGCCAGCAGCCGCGGUAAUACGGAGGGCGCGCGCGUUAAUCGGCAUCACUGGGCGUAAAGCGCGCGUAGGCGGCUUGAUAAGUCGGGCGUGAAAGCCCUCGGCCCAACCGAGGAACUGCGUUCGAUACUGGGAGGCUUGAGUCCUGGAGAGGGUGGCGGAAUGCCGGGUGUAGGAGUGAAAUCCGUAGAUAUCCGGAGGAACACCGGUGGCGAAGGCGGCCACCUGGACAGGUACUGACGCUGAGGUGCGAAAGCGUGGGGAGCAAACAG
rnacentral:rRNA from 1 species